rnacentral:rRNA from 1 species
GACGAACGCUGGCGGCGUGCUUAACACAUGCAAGUCGAACGAUGAAGCCGGAGCUUGCUCUGGUGAAUUAGUGGCGAACGGGUGAGUAACACGUGAGUAACCUGCCCUUGACUCUGGGAUAACUGCUAGAAAUGAUAGCUAAUACCGGAUACGACCCUCGGAGGCAUCUCCAGGGGGUGGAAAGAAUUUCGGUCAAGGAUGGACUCGCGGCCUAUCAGCUAGUUGGUGAGGUAAGGGCUCACCACGGCGACGACGGGUAGCCGGCCUGAGAGGGUAGCAGGCCACACUGGGACUGAGACACGGCCCAGACUCCUACGGGAGGCAGCAGUGGGGAAUAUUGCACAAUGGGCGCAAGCCUGAUGCAGCAACGCCGCGUGAGGGAUGACGGCCUUCGGGUUGUAAACCUCUUUUAGUAGGGAAGAAGCGAAAGUGACGGUACCUGCAGAAAAAGCACCGGCUAACUACGUGCCAGCCGCCGCGGUAA